UCCCAGGUGGCUCAGUGGUAAAGAAUCUGCCUGCCAAGCAGGAGACAUAGGUUCCAUUCCUGAAUCAGGAA
rnacentral:tRNA from 1 species